CUGGGAGAGGGCUGUUUACUCC
rnacentral:miRNA from 1 species